AAAGAGCCGCUGCCUGGUAAUGAGGAUGCUGCACCUGGUGGAGUGACCUUGCUCCCAGCUCAUAUCUAGCUUCCUGCCUAUCUCAAUAGUUUAUUUGUCCAUUAUCAUUUGUCUCCUGUUGAUUUUGUGAACAAGCCAGGGGGCUGGGUCACUGGUUCCUGGUAGCCCACAGCUUCACCAUCAGAGGUUUUCAGAAGUGAAAUGACAAGACGACUUUAAUUACUUAAGCUACCUGCUUGCUUGAGCUUGAGAAAUCUAGCCAGUAAGAAGUUCUAUGUGAAAGGACUGCACAACCAGUUUCCCUGGAUUCAACCCAAAGUGACUUUUGAUGAUAUGUCUAUGUGCUCUGUUUGUAUGUGACAGUAGCCAUAGUUAAAUUCAGUCAUGUUACUAAAAAGCAAGUAGCUAGCCACAACAGGAAAAUCAUGCACCAAACUGAACAGAUCUUUGUCUAUUUCUAUCUGUUUUAGGUCUGUUCCAAAUAAAGCUAUAUUAUUGUAUCUUUGUAUUCCUUAUUGUUUGAUUAAUAAGAUUUAUAAACACUCUGUCCUUCAAAGAGCUCAAAAACCAAAACAAGUGAAACAGGACUACUAAACAUCCAGAGAUAUAUGGAAAAAUCAAAGGAAGAAAAGCAGAAACAGAAUUAAAAAAAAAAAAGGAAAGAUGAAAAGCAAUCAUUUCCACCUCUUCAUCACAUAAGCUAGGAACAAUAUGUGGGAAGAAUUUGUCCUACUCCUGCUUACUGAAGAGAUAGUAGACAGCCUUCUGUUAGUUUCCUGCAUUGUCUUCCCAGAUUUAUACCCAUUAUUUUACUUUUUUCUUUCCAUUCAACAUUAUUAAUUUCAUUAUUCUUUGCUGUUAUUACUUCUAUCAUUGACCCUUUUUAUUCUUAUUCUUAUUCGAAAUUGAGUUGAUUGUAUAAAUUUUGAUAUUGAAAGAGAAUACAGGA